AGUGAACGCUGGCGGUAGGCCUAACACAUGCAAGUCGAACGGCAGCACAGGAGAGCUUGCUCUCUGGGUGGCGAGUGGCGGACGGGUGAGGAAUACAUCGGAAUCUACUCUGUCGUGGGGGAUAACGUAGGGAAACUUACGCUAAUACCGCAUACGACCUACGGGUGAAAGCAGGGGACCUUCGGGCCUUGCGCGAUUGAAUGAGCCGAUGUCGGAUUAGCUAGUUGGCGGGGUAAAGGCCCACCAAGGCUACGAUCCGUAGAUGGUCUGAGAGGAUGAUCAGCCACACUGGAACUGAGACACGGUCCAGACUCCUACGGGAGGCAGCAGUGGGGAAUAUUGGACAAUGGGCGCAAGCCUGAUCCAGCCAUACCGCGUGGGUGAAGAAGGCCUUCGGGUUGUAAAGCCCUUUUGUUGGGAAAGAAAUCCAGCUGGCUAAUACCCGGUUGGGAUGACGGUACCCAAAGAAUAAGCACCGGCUAACUUCGUGCCAGCAGCCGCAGUAA
rnacentral:rRNA from 1 species